rnacentral:rRNA from 1 species
UGGGGAAUUUUGGACAAUGGGCGAAAGCCUGAUCCAGCAAUGCCGCGUGCAGGAAGAAGGCCUUCGGGUUGUAAACUGCUUUUGUACGGAACGAAAAGGCUCUUUCUAAUAAAGAGGGCCCAUGACGGUACCGUAAGGAUAAGCACCGGCUAACUACGUGCCAGCAGCCGCGGUAAUACGUAGGGUGCGAGCGUUAAUCGGAAUUACUGGGCGUAAAGCGUGCGCAGGCGGUUCUAUAAGACAGAUGUGAAAUCCCCGGGCUCAACCUGGGAAUGGCAUUUGUGACUGUAGAGCUAGAGUACGGUAGAGGGGGAUGGAAUUCCGCGUGUAGCAGUGAAAUGCGUAGAUAUGCGGAGGAACACCGAUGGCGAAGGCAAUCCCCUGGACCUGUACUGACGCUCAUGCACGAAAGCGUGGGGAGCAAACAGGAUUAGAUACCCUAGUAGUCCCUGAGCGGGCUGGCAAGGCGCAU